rnacentral:rRNA from 1 species
GACGAACGCUGGCGGCGUGCUUAACACAUGCAAGUCGAACGGAAAGGCCUAGCUUUCUGGUUCUUCAUGUGGCGAACGGGGGAGUAACACGUGGGGGUACUCCCCCUGACUUUGGGAUAAGCCUGUUAAACAGGGUAUAUAACCGGAUAUUACUUUUUCUUUUCCUGGGGAUUUGUGGAAAGCUGUCGCGGUUGGGGAUGGGCCCGGGGCCUACCAGCUUGUUGGUGGGGUAAUGGCCUACCAAGGCGACGACGGGUGGCCAACCUGAGAGGGUGAUCGGCCACACUGGGACUGAGACACGGCCCAGACUCCUACGGGAGGCAGCAGUGGAGAAUAUUGCACAAUAGGCGCAAGCCUGAUGCAGCGACGCCGCGUGAGGGAUGACGGCCUUCGGGUUGUAAACCUCUUUCAGCUCCGACGAAGCGCAAGUGACGGUAGGAGCAGAAGAAGCACCGGCUAACUACGUG